rnacentral:lncRNA from 1 species
GUGGGGUCAUUGGAUUGUAAUGUGGCAGUGCCGGAUUAUACGGUUGAAGAGUAAGAUUAUACCGUGGUAGUGCUGGAUCCUCUUGGUGUGGAUGUGGCUCAUACUGUAGCAGUGGUAGAGGGGAUCAAGCAACUCCCUUCUCUCCUCCCUAACUUGCUGGGCAGAGAUGAGUCUCUCAAAUAUCUCAAAGAGUCGAUCGACAUCCU